CCGCCGCCGCCGCCGCCGCCGCCUCAGGGCCCUCGGCGGAGCCAGCGCUACCGAUGUUCAUUCAAAGCAAGAGGCUGCCUUCCCUCCAGCUUGCUCAGGACUUGCCAGAUGCCAGGGGAAGGCAGGGACGUGGCAGACGCUGCUUUUGCAGAACAGGAGGGCAAGAGAAACAGGCACCGAACCCGAGCUCAUCAAACACAGCCCUGCUGCAGGACCCCACAACAGCGAUUGGUAUCGCAGCCCAGUCUCUGCUCCGUGACACCCCCAGCGCUGCCAGCCUCAGAUUUACUGAGUUACUGCACUAAGGACUGCAUGUUAUUAUAACAUCUUGUUUACCAAAUAGAAAGCAAACCAGACACGAGUAUUUUAACUGCAAUUGGAAAGAAGCAAGAUGAGGAUUAUUGGUUUAAUUAAAUUCACUGUGAUGUUCCUGUUCUUAAGUUAGUACUUAAGCUUAUGCAAAGUUCUGCUGCCUUUCAUCCUGAACAGUAAAAAGUUGAUUUAGGUAAUACCAUGACUAAAAUUAUCAGGCACUGUAGUCCUUGUUCUCACAGCAUCGGAGAGCCCUGUGUGCACAUGUAGUAAUAAAACAGGAAUAGCAUAUA